CCUUUAAAGAAAGCGUAAUAGCUCACUAGUCGAGUCGGCCUGCGCGGAAGAUGUAACGGGGCUAAGCAAUAUACCGAAGCUGCGGAUACGUGUUUACACGUAUGGUAGGGGAGCGUUGUGUAAGUGGAUGAAGGUGAAUCGAGAGGUUUGCUGGACAUAUCACAAGUGCGAAUGCUGACAUGAGUAACGACAAUGGGGGUGAAAAACCCCCACGCCGGAAGACCAAGGGUUCCUGCGCAACGCUAAUCGGCGCAGGGUGAGUCGGCCCCUAAGGCGAGACCGAAAGGUGUAGUCGAUGGGAAACGGAUUAAUAUUUCCGUACUUAUAUAAUCAGUGAUGGAGGGACGGAGAAGGCUAAGCAAGCUUGGCGUUGGUUGUCCAAGUGAAAGCAAGUAGGCCGAGUGUUUAGGUAAAUCCGGACGCUUAAAGCUGAGAUG
rnacentral:rRNA from 1 species